AUUGAACGCUGGCGGCAGGCCUAACACAUGCAAGUCGAGCGGAAGAAGGGAGCUUGCUCCUGGAUUCAGCGGCGGACGGGUGAGUAAUGCCUAGGAAUCUGCCUGGUAGUGGGGGAUAACGUCCGGAAACGGGCGCUAAUACCGCAUACGUCCUGCGGGAGAAAGUGGGGGAGCUUCGGACAUCACGCUAUCAGAUGAGCCUAGGUCGGAUUAGCGAGUUGGUGGGGUAAAGGCCUACCAAGGGGACGAUCCGUAACUGGUCUGAGAGGAUGAUCAGUCACACUGGAGCUGAGACACGGACCAGGAUCCUACGGGAGGCAGGAGUGGGGAAUAUUGGACAAUGGGCGAAAGCCUGAUCCAGCCAUGCAGCGUGUGUGAAGAAGGUCUUCGGAUUGUAAAGCACUUUAAGUUGGGAGGAAGGGCAGUAAGUUAAUACCUUGCUGUUUUGACGUUACCAACAGAAUAAGCACCGGCUAACUUCGU
rnacentral:rRNA from 1 species